UUGCCGUGCCGCGUGAAGUGCUUCUGCACGCUGCCAGAGCUGAGCUGAUGGCGGCAGCCAUUCCACACGAGCAGCUCUGGUCUGAAGAACCGAGUAUAAGACCUUUACAUGUGGCCCCCUGUGAGCAUGUGAAACUGGACUAAGCACAAAAGGAAAAAAAGGAUCAAGUCUGACAUAGCUUUCUCACUGAGGUACUAUAAGAGACAGUCUGCACAGUUGGAGGUGUAUAUUCAUGUAACCACCACAAUCAAGAUACAGAACUGCUCCAUCACCACAAAGCUUCCACAUGCCACCUCUUUACAGUCACAUACACCCUAGCAACAUACAACUUUAAUUUUUGCAUUCUUUCACUGUUAUGGCCCUAGGAAAAUAUUACUGAACAAGCAAAAAUCCCUGCUCUAUUGAGAAAAUACACAAAUUUUCACAAUGAAUACAGGUAUAUCUUAGGGAUAUUGCAUGUUCAGUUUCAGACCACCACAGUAAAGUGAAUCUUGAAAUAAAAAAUAAGC